rnacentral:tRNA from 2 species
UUAACUGAAACCAAAUAGAGGUAUAUUACUGUUAAUAAUAUAAUUGAAUACAAAUUCCAGUUAAG